AUUACCCUCGGAUUCCUCUUUCUCCCACGGGAGUGGGAUUUCAAAAGAACCCCUCAAUUCAUUCUAUAAAAGAGCUCAUGAUUUAGCUGGAAAAGGAGGGGGAGCAGAGGUCGGGGAGGGAAAAAGAACCCAUUUGAGCAAAUUUAGUAAAUUUUCACUUUUAGUAAAAAAUUUUGAGAAGCGGUCGAAGCUUUUGAAAUCACGGCGAAGCUUUUCCGGUGGUGGUUGUGAGUCCGACGAAAGCUCGACGUCCUGUUUUGCUGCUCCCGAACAGGUAACAUUCCGUCGCCGUUUAAAUUUCGAUCGCAUUCUGCCUCAUCUCGCCGUUCUAUAGUCGUAAAUAAUUUUCGAUACUGUUUAUGUGCUGGGUUGUUUGCUGGUAGAGGCGUUAAGGGCCAUAGGUUUCUCUGUAAUUGUGAAGCAAGUGUCGGAUUAUUGUUGCGUUGGAUUAAUUUUUGUUUUAAGUUGUCUAAUGUGCGAUUUCUGUUGUCUCUGCCUCGACAUUGAUUUCGCCAUUUACUCUCGAUAUUGUUGGUUAAUCUUCGACUUAACAUCCCCGUCUUGGGUACUGCUUGUGAUUUGAAUGCUGGUUUCGUCAUGCUUCGAUUUUUUGAUUAAUGGUUUCGGACUGAUGGUAACUCAUUAUAGCUGGUUUGGUAGCUAAAUUUUCAUACUUUGAUUAAUAGUUUCGGGCUGCUGGUGCCUUGUUAAGGCUGGUUUCGUCGUUUAAAGUUUCGUGCUGUGAUUUUGUUUAAUAGAUUCGGUGAUGGUCUCAUAGUUAAAGCUUUUUUGCUUUGGUCUUGUUUAAUAGCUUCAGGUUGAUGGCGUCUAGUUCGUGGUUAGUAUUCGAUGUUGCCUUGUUUGUCGGGACUUCCUCUCGAGUUCUUUGGCUUCUCGAAUGACAAAGAAUGACGAGGAUACAUUAGACAAAAACUGACAAAUCUCAUAAUUCCUCGAUGACCGUUUUGGCUAUUAAAACUCGUUUUGAGUUUGUCAAAAAGAGGAUGAAGUUGAUAGUAGUGCCCUGCCAUUUCUCCUUUAGCUUUAUUUGCUAUGUCUGUCUUGUGUGGAUUUGAAUUUUCUUUUAUCCUUCUUUGCCUCUUGAGCUCGUUGCCAGUAUGUGGUCGAGUUGGGGAGAUGAACGCAAUAAUUGGGUAUCUUAGUAUGUCUAUUUACAGGGGAUAGUCUGAUUUUGUUUUCGCUAUGGGAAUGGAGCAUCACA
rnacentral:lncRNA from 1 species